rnacentral:tRNA from 1 species
GCCUGGGUGGUUCAGUUGGUCGAGCGGCCGACUCUUGAUCUCACAGUUCGUGGGUUCAAGCCCCACAUCAGGCU